rnacentral:rRNA from 1 species
UACAGAGGGGGCAAGCGUUGUUCGGAAUUACUGGGCGUAAAGGGCGCGUAGGCGGCCUUCUAAGUCGAACGUGAAAUCCCCGGGCUCAACCCGGGAACUGCGUCCGAUACUGGAAGGCUUGAAUCCGGGAGAGGGAUGUGGAAUUCCAGGUGUAGCGGUGAAAUGCGUAGAUAUCUGGAGGAACACCGGUGGCGAAGGCGGCGACCUGGUCCGAUACUGACGCUGAGGCGCGAAAGCGUGGGGAGCAAACAGG